rnacentral:tRNA from 1 species
AGAAACUUAGGUUAAACAUAAACCAAGGGCCUUCAAAGCCCUAAAUAAGAGAUACCACUCCUAGUUUCUG